GAACAAGUUCCAAACCAGGCCCAAAUAGUAUCCCAAACUCAGUCCCAAACACAUUCUCACCCCCGGCAGCAGGCUGCAGGCCUCCAGCUACACACACGGCCCUGGGCAACUCUCAGUCUGGCCACCCAUUCGAUGCUGCCAGCCCCAAGGGUGUGGGAGGGGGGUCUCAGAGUGUCCCAGGGUACUGGCCACACAUGCCCGACACCAGGGUCAUAAGGUCCUCUCAGCAGAGCCACUGCAGCACCAAAGGCAUUUCUGGAAGGAGGCAAGGACGCGUCAUCUAGAUGUCAAGCCCCAGCGUGCGAUUCUGUCACAGUUCACCCCACCUUCACCCCGAGACGGAAGACGGAAGAGCUUCGCACACAGGCGGGAAGAGGUCAGGACCAGUCCAGCCUCACUGGCUUCAGAACUGGCCUGGGGGCUACCUUGACCCACAGGAAGGGAAGAGGAACGUGCUCUGGGCAGGGCAAGGCAGGACCUGCAGCACCCACAGACCAGCAGUAAAGGACCCCCGGAACUUUCCAAGUCUAGCACAAAACCCAGAAGCCACAAAGGAAAAUACUGGCAGAUUUAAAUGCAUGAAGUCAACAUUCUUUUUGUAGAGCUAAAGAAACCAUAAGCAAAAUUAAAAGCCAAAUGCAUUCUGGGAGG
rnacentral:lncRNA from 1 species